rfam:Longilinea arvoryzae DNA, scaffold: Larv_scaffold_1, strain: KOME-1.
CAGGUUGGUCGGGCAGCCGCGGCGUCCCAUUGGGAUGUCGAGGAAAGUCCGCGCUCCACAGAGCACGAUGUCGGGUAACACCCGGGGCGGGGUAACCUGCCAGAUCGGGCCACAGAAACAUACCGCCCCGCAAGGGGUAAGGGUGAAAUGGCGGUGUAAAAGACCACCGGCGCUGCCGUAAUGCAGCGGCCAGGCAACCCUCAUCGGGAGCAAGGCCAAGCAGGGACGGGAGACUGCUCGUCUCGACACGUUUCCGGGUAGAAAUACCCGGGAGGGUGGAAGUUCCGGGUAGGCUGCAUGAACGGGCUGGCAACAGUCCGUCUAGAGAGAUGGCUGCCCAGGCGGGUGCGUGCGUCCUCUUCGGAGGAGACCCAGUCGCCGGACAGAACGCGGCUUAUAGAUCAGCCUGAGGC